rnacentral:rRNA from 1 species
CCUACGGGGGGCAGCAGUGAGGAAUAUUGGUCAAUGGACGAGAGUCUGAACCAGCCAAGUAGCGUGAAGGAUGACUGCCCUAUGGGUUGUAAACUUCUUUUAUAUGGGAAUAAAAUGUUCCACGUGUGGGAUUUUGUAUGUACCAUAUGAAUAAGGAUCGGCUAACUCCGUGCCAGCAGCCGCGGUAUUACGGAGGAUCCGAGCGUUAUCCGGAUUUAUUGGGUUUAAAGGGAGCGUAGGUGGAUUGUUAAGUCAGUUGUGAAAGUUUGCGGCUCAACCGUAAAAUUGCAGUUGAAACUGGCAGUCUUGAGUACAGUAGAGGUGGGCGGAAUUCGUGGUGUAGCGGUGAAAUGCUUAGAUAUCACGAAGAACUCCGAUUGCGAAGGCAGUUCACUGGACUGCAACUGACACUGAGGCUCGAAAGUGUGGGUAUCAAACAGGAUUAGAUACCCUAGUAGUC